UUGCGGCAUGGCGGCGGAGGGAGCGGAGCUUGGUUCCCCGGCGUCCGCGCAGCCGCCGGCACCGAAGCGGCGGAAGAUCGAGCCUUCUCGGAGGAGUAGACCUCCUCCUUCUCAAGAUGCUCCUGAUAAGGACAAGUUAGCGGCAUCAUCCAAUUCAUCAGUAUGCUCUAAUUCCUGACACGUUGAUUGGCAAUCAGUACCUUCUCUCCUCUUUCUUGAUUUCUCCUAACAUCCUUUUUUUGAUGUGAACACCACUUUUCCAGGUUUCAGGUACACCGGUAGCGAGAGUGGAUCUCAACAAAGUAAUAGAGGCAAAGAGAUUUGCUGUCUUUCAAGCACAGCACGAGGGAUGCCUUGGAAGCUUCAAAAGCUUUGAUUCUCUGUUUGGAAAUUAUCUUGUUCCUGUUACCCCAAGCGAUGAUUUCUUCGAACAGAUUUCGAAGAAGUAAUACAACAGAGUUGACAGCCGUGAAGAGGUAGGACAAUGAUUCUGCUCCAUGCUAGGUAUAUCAACUGUCUAAGAUCUGUUCCUGCUAGAUUUUUUAUACUAACAGAGUAAUGCUAGCUAAGACUUCAAUACAAACUCUAUGAGUACUCUACUUUAGAAAUUGAGGUUCUGUUCUUCAAAAGGGUAACUGGUUUUGAUGUACGGCUGUAGAUACUCCUACCUUGUAAGAUCUCCACCGUGCCAAAAUGUAGAGUUACUAAUUGUACAAGUGGUGCACAAGCGUUGCUUUCUGGCAAGCAUUCUGUAGUGCCACCUUUUAUUUCUCAGUGGGAAUU